UCUGCCCCUUGUGGCUGCUGUGUUACAUGUAGGUGGCAGAGAAGAGAGAGGUUAUGUCUAUGUUCAGUGUUCUGACCUAGCCCAAUACUCCCUGAAAAAAGCAAGCCUGAGAAGAUCAUCAAUCUGUCACC